rnacentral:rRNA from 1 species
AUUGAACGCUGGCGGCAUGCCUUACACAUGCAAGUCGAACGGUAACAGGGAGCUUGCUCCGCUGACGAGUGGCGAACGGGUGAGUAAUGUAUCGGAACGUACCUUUUAGUGGGGGAUAACGUAGCGAAAGUUACGCUAAUACCGCAUAUUCUAUGAGGAGGAAAGCAGGGGACCUUCGGGCCUUGCGCUAAUAGAGAGGCUGAUAUCAGAUUAGCUAGUUGGUGAGGUAAAGGCUCACCAAGGCGACGAUCUGAAGCGGGUCUGAGAGGAUGAUCCGCCACACUGGAACUGAGACACGGUCCAGACUCCUACGGGAGGCAGCAGUGGGGAAUUUUGGACAAUGGGGGCAACCCUGAUCCAGCCAUGCCGCGUGAGUGAAGAAGGCCUUCGGGUUGUAAAGCUCUUUCGGCCGGGAAAAAAUCGCAUGGGCUAAUACCCUGUGUGGAUGAUGGUACCGGAAUAAGAAGCACCGGCUAACUACGUGCCAGCCGCCGCCGUAACAC